rnacentral:rRNA from 1 species
UACGUAGGGUGCGAGCGUUAAUCGGAAUUACUGGGCGUAAAGUGUGCGCAGGCGGCCGCGCAAGUCGAGUGUGAAAGCCCCGAGCUUAACUUGGGAAUUGCGCUCGAAACUACGUGGCUGGAGUGUGGCAGAGGAAGGUGGAAUUCCAGGUGUAGCGGUGAAAUGCGUAGAGAUCUGGAGGAACACCGAUGGCGAAGGCAGCCUUCUGGGCCAACACUGACGCUCAUGCACGAAAGCGUGGGAGCAAACAGG